GCAUCGUAUAGUGGCUAUUACCUCAGCCUUCCAAGCUGAUGAUGCGGGUUCGAUUCCCGCUGCCC
rnacentral:ncRNA from 14 species